rnacentral:tRNA from 1 species
UAGCUCAAGGGGUAGAGUGCAUGCUUAGCAUGCAUGAGGUCCUGGGUUCCAUCCCCAG